rnacentral:lncRNA from 1 species
AUGCAACAUCCCAAACACUAUUGCAACAUCGCAAACCAUUGUUGUGCAACGUUCAAAAUAACCUACCGAAACAUCAUGAAAAAUAAACCAUUCAACAUUAAACAUGUCGGUACAUGAAACAUCUCAAAUCAUCUCAUGCAACUUUGAAACAUAAUAAAGUCUCAAUAAAAAUAGAUUAAAAUAUCUGCAACAUCCAGAAUGAAUAAGUGAAACAUCCAAUGCUACCUAUUGCAACAUUUAACAUCUAUGACCCUCGGAACAUCUGAAACGCAAGAACUGCAACAUCUGAAACACAAGAAUUGCAACAUCUGAAAACCUCGACUGCAACAAUCUGAUUUACCUUUUACCAACACAAGGACCCAGAACUUUCC